rnacentral:rRNA from 1 species
ACGAACGCUGGCGGCGUGCUUAACACAUGCAAGUCGAACGGAAAGGCCCUGCUUUUGUGGGGUGCUCGAGUGGCGAACGGGUGAGUAACACGUGAGUAACCUGCCCUUGUCUUUGGGAUAACUUCAGGAAACUGGGGCUAAUACCGGAUAGGAGCUCCUGCUGCAUGGUGGGGGUUGGAAAGUUUCGGCGGUUGGGGAUGGACUCGCGGCUUAUCAGCUUGUUGGUGGGGUAGUGGCUUACCAAGGCUUUGACGGGUAGCCGGCCUGAGAGGGUGACCGGCCACAUUGGGACUGAGAUACGGCCCAGACUCCUACGGGAGGCAGCAGUGGGGAAUAUUGCACAAUGGGCGGAAGCCUGAUGCAGCAACGCCGCGUGCGGGAUGACGGCCUUCGGGUUGUAAACCGCUUUCGCCUGUGACGAAGCGUGAGUGACGGUAAUGGGUAAAGAAGCACCGGCUAACUACGUG